rnacentral:rRNA from 1 species
UGCCAGCCGCCGCGGUAAUACGGAGGGUGCGAGCGUUAAUCGGAAUCACUGGGCGUAAAGCGUGCGUAGGCGGCGCAGUAAGUCAGACGUGAAAGCCCUCGGCUCAACCGAGGAAUUGCGUUUGAAACUGGUAUGCUAGAGUCUCGGAGAGGUUGGCGGAAUUCCAGGUGUAGGAGUGAAAUCCGUAGAUAUCUGGAGGAACACCGGUGGCGAAGGCGACUUCCUGGACUAUUACUGACACUGAGGAGCGAAAGCGUGGGGAGCAAACAGGAUUAGAUA